rnacentral:rRNA from 1 species
UACAUAGGUCUCAAGCGUUGUUCGGAUUCAUUGGGCGUAAAGGGUGCGUAGGCGGCGCGGUAAGUCGGGUGUGAAAUCUCGGAGCUUAACUCCGAAACUGCAUUCGAUACUGCCGUGCUUGAGGACUGGAGAGGAGACUGGAAUUUACGGUGUAGCGGUGAAAUGCGUAGAUAUCGUAAGGAACACCAGUGGCGAAGGCGGCUAACUGGCCCGGUACUGACGCUGAGGCACGAAAGCGUGGGGAGCAAACAGG